UCACCUCAUGAUCCGCCUGCCUCAGCCUCCCAAAGUGCUGGGAUUACAGGAGUGAGCCACCAUGGAUGUUUAUUACACAGAUACAGGCCCCGAUGUGUGAUGUUCCCCUCCCCUGUGUCCAUGCAUUCUCAUUGUUCAGCUCCCACUUAUGAGUGAGAUCACAGCGGCUCUCAGGAAGAAGGGUGACUGUCUGGUGUGGAGUUGUGCUACCACAGCAAAGCGAACUUCAAAAACAUGGAACUGCCAUGUAGAUGCUCAGGAAAUAUACAUGGUCUGUCAUCUCUUUUGGCCAUAG
rnacentral:lncRNA from 13 species